rnacentral:rRNA from 1 species
GCGACCUCAGCUCAGGCGGGGCUACCCGCUGAGUUUAAGCAUAUCAAUAAGCGGAGGAAAAGAAACUAACAAGGAUCCC